rnacentral:tRNA from 1 species
GAGAAAAAAAUUGUUCCCAAACAAAAUAAUCUGAUUGGCGUGUUUGACUGGCAGUCAAAAGGUCACGGGUUCGAAUCCCGUAUUCUCCA